AAUCCAUGGUGCGAGCAUUUCUGAAUCAACAUUUUGAAUCAUUCUCAUGCCUCAUAGAAACUUUCUCCCUCCAUUUUUCUAAAAAUAGAAAUUUCUCUUAUUAGUUA
rnacentral:snoRNA from 1 species